rnacentral:rRNA from 1 species
GAUGAACGCUAGCGGAAGGCAUAAUACAUGCAAGUCGAACGGAUGUAGCAAUACAUUAGUGGCGCACGGGUGCGUAACGCGUAUGCAACCUACCUUCAUCAGGGGGAUAACUACCCGAAAGGGUGGCUAACACCGCAUAAUACUAUUGAGUGGCAUCACUUGAUAUUUAAAUCUGAGGAGGAUGAAGAUGGGCAUGCGUCUGAUUAGCUAGUUGGUGUGGUAACGGCGCACCAAGGCGACGAUCAGUAGGGGAACUGAGAGGUUGGUCCCCCACACUGGCACUGAGAUCCGGGCCAGACUCCUACGGGAGGCAGCAGUAGGGAAUAUUGGUCAAUGGUGGAAACACUGAACCAGCCAUUCCGCGUGCAGGAAGAAGGGUCUCUGACUUGUAAACUGCUUUAGCAAGGGAAGAAAAAGCUCAUGCGUGAGAAAUUGACGGUACCUUGAGAAUAAGCACCGGCUAACUACGUGCCAGCCGCCGCCGUAACAC